UCCCAUUUGGUAUUUUUAUUUAUAUUUUCAAACUUUUCUGUGUUGGUCGUAACAUUUUAUUCAACAUAAUUUUCUAUUAGGAUGUUACAGUACUUACUGUAAGUAUAGUUUUUGUUCAGCAGUCUUGUACAGAGCAGAUAUUGUUUGAUAAUUAGUGGCUAAAUGUUUAAUAUUUUUGGAUGGCUUAGUGAGGAUCAUUAAUUUAUUCCUUGCAUCUCCUGGGUCCUUGGUUCAAAUCCUAACCAGGACACUAUCUGCCUGGAGUGUUUGUUCUCCCUGUAGUUGCAUGGGAUGGCUCUGAGUACGCAGGCCCAAUCCCACACGCCAAAGGUAAUCGUGGAUAUUUCAUUGUCACUUAUCUCAAUUGGCCAGAGACUGAUGUGAAUCUACAAUAUGUAAAUUGUUGCAUAUAUUGCCAACGCUUUAUAAAUACACGUAUAAGUGUAUCGCAGUUGUGCAUGCAAGUGGUUAUCAAAGCAUUAAAUUUACUGCAACUGUUCCUGCAUCACGUGACCGGUAAUGCCAAUGUGACUUCAGUUCAUCAAUAUGGCUCCUUCCAAACAUUUACACAUAUAGGAGGUAGUAAAGACCGCUUGGCUAACUCAAGGUGAUUAAAAUUGCUUACGUGCUUACACCUUGUGCUUAUGUCUAUUACUCCUUGAAAUUUAGAAGCAGGAAAUCAUUGCUCUGGAAACUGAUAGAACA